rnacentral:rRNA from 1 species
AGGAAGAAGCUUGCUUCUUUGCUGACGAGUGGCGGACGGGUGAGUAAUGUCUGGGAAACUGCCUGAUGGAGGGGGAUAACUACUGGAAACGGUAGCUAAUACCGCAUAACGUCGCAAGACCAAAGAGGGGGACCUUCGGGCCUCUUGCCAUCGGAUGUGCCCAGAUGGGAUUAGCUAGUAGGUGGGGUAACGGCUCACCUAGGCGACGAUCCCUAGCUGGUCUGAGAGGAUGACCAGCCACACUGGAACUGAGACACGGUCCAGACUCCUACGGGAGGCAGCAGUGGGGAAUAUUGCACAAUGGGCGCAAGCCUGAUGCAGCCAUGCCGCGUGUAUGAAGAAGGCCUUCGGGUUGUAAAGUACUUUCAGCGGGGAGGAAGGGAGUAAAGUUAAUACCUUUGCUCAUUGACGUUACCCGCAGAAGAAGCACCGGCUAACUCCGUGCCAGCAGCCGCGGUAAUACGGAGGGUGCAAGCGUUAAUCGGAAUUACUGGGCGUAAAGCGCACGCAGGCGGUUUGUUAAGUCAGAUGUGAAAUCCCCGGGCUCAACCUGGGAACUGCAUCUGAUACUGGCAAGCUUGAGUCUCGUAGAGGGGGGUAGAAUUCCAGGUGUAGCGGUGAAAUGCGUAGAGAUCUGGAGGAAUACCGGUGGCGAAGGCGGCCCCCUGGACGAAGACUGACGC